AGGAUUUUAGUUUAAAUAAAAACACUUGAAUUGCAAUCAAAAAAAAUAAUUAUUAUAAAUCUUA
rnacentral:tRNA from 1 species